rnacentral:rRNA from 1 species
UACGUAGGGGGCAAGCGUUGUCCGGAAUCAUUGGGCGUAAAGCGCGUGUAGGCGGCUGGCUAAGUCCGCUCUGAAAGCCCGGGGCUCAACCCCGGGAGGCGGGUGGAUACUGGUCAGCUCGAGUCCGGAAGAGGAGUGUGGAAUUCCUGGUGUAGCGGUGAAAUGCGCAGAUAUCAGGAGGAACACCAGCGGCGAAGGCGGCGCUCUGGGCCGAUACUGACGCUGAGGAGCGAAAGCGUGGGGAGCAAACAGG